CUGAGAAGAGAGAGGAUUUUUAGUCAGACUGUUCAAAACUUUAUGGUGGUUUUUUGUUUUUGUUUUUUUGGUAGGUUUGUUUUUUAAGUAACACCUAUUUAACUCAAAUACCUGACAAACAUUGUUAAAGAUUCAGUCACCAGCACCCCUUUUAGAUCUUGUCCACGUAGGGACAUUUUUUUCAAUGUAAACUAAGCUGUGAAGUUAAACUGAUAAUAAUACAGGUUGUGAUGGGGUGGGCUCCCCACACUGGCCCUGCAAGAGCUGAAUUGGGCCAGGAGGGCCCAAUCAACUAAUUAGGCUGCAAACAAGGGAGCCUUAGGAGGCAGCUAAUUAGAGGGAAGCUCAGCUGUGCAGGAACAGAUGCUUACAAUAGAAGAGGCUGCUAGGAAAGGUUGCAGUCACUCCCUGGGAAGAAGGAGUUGGAGCAGAUAUAUCCAGAGAAAGGGGAGGAACCAGAACAGAAGGAAGCAGUCCAGGGAAGGAGCAGUGAGAUCUGAGAGAGUAAAGACCAGUACUGCUGGGUUGAGGUCCCUGGAUUGGAACCCGGAGCAGAGGGUGGGCCCAGAUUCCCUUACCAGCACCGAGGGCGUGGCAUAAACUGGUGGAGCAGUGAACCUGUAGACUGCCUGGGUCACUAUGGGAGUCAGAGAAUUGAAGGACUGAACCCCAGAAGGGAGGAAACGCUAAACAGCAUAGAUGGAAGGCUGCGUCGUGAAGAGAACAGCUGCAGCUCCUGAGAGCGAGAGAGGGGCUGCAGAGGAGAAACUGUCAGGAUGUAACUGCUGCAAGGGGCGUCAGCCUGACCCAGCUAAUCCCCAGAACUGUCAGGAGGCAGCGCUGUGACACAGGGGAAGCAAAGAACAUGGGAACUGUAACUAAUGCGAUACUAGAUUCUAGACAGAAUCCUCAGUAACUGACACCAUUAAAACCUUUCCUAAGUUUA